UUUGCGAACUCGCUCCGAAGCCCAGAUCUCAUGUUAUUUUCCACUGAAAGCGCUGUAGCGUUCAUUCCCUUGCCGAAAAAUGGCGGACAAUAUAAAAAGGAAAAAAUUACUGUGAGGAAAGGUACUUUAGUGUGUGCUAUUGCUAAUCACUUCACGGAGGAUGAGGUAUGAAGUGUGGAUUCUGCCAAGGAGCACAAUUACAACAGCCGCCCAGUCCCAGUGCUCUUGCUGAGGCAUGGGAAAAAUAAAGGAGCUGGAAAAAACACCUGCUAGUGACAUCAGCAUCAUCUACUGACUUGCUAGUGACAUCAGCAUAAUCUACACACCUGCUAGUGACAUCAUGCUCCACCUCACCUUCUAGUGGCAUCAGCAUCAUCUACACACAUGCUAGUGACAUCAGCAUCAUCUACUCACUUGCUAGUGACACCAUGCUUCUCUUCACCUGCUAGUAACUUGUCUGCUUUGUGAUAAGAAAAUUUUGCUAUCUUCCAAUUCUGAACACAUCAGAAAUCACCAACCCCUCCUGACAUAUCUUUCCAGUUUGGGUUUUGCAUGGUCCCCAAUAACUCAACGUGGGAUGCCUCUCCGAUUUCUUUCACAUCAGGGCACUUAACCUCUACCAGGCCACAGAGAGGUUCUUCAUUUGGGUCCACCACUUUGCCAUCUGCACCAAGGUGUGGAGCAUCAGGGUGGAUGAUGAGACCAGAUGGAAGAACUUUAACGUCAAAGGUCUCCUCAUAGCGGUGAAGAACCUCUGGCUCAAGUUUUAAUCCUCUACACAUCGCUCUCUAGAGACCCCGACAGAUGUUUACACACACUGUUUAAUGCAAGACAUAAAUGCAUUUAACCUGCAAUUACAAAUGCAUAAUGUUUUGAUGUUUUAAGCCCAGAAUGUUGAAUACUGAUAUUUGCAAAGAUAAAAGAAAGUGCUUUAAGAGGUGAAAUUAAAAACACCAAUAUCUAGACAAUCAUGAAUUGUAACCACUUCCUUUAAUGUUUUUACUAAACGGUUGAUAUGGAAUUUGUUUAAAUGUUACA